UCUCAGGACUGGGGUGGAUGCUUUGAAGGAGCAUGUUGCUAGACACUUGUGAUGGGAACUCAUUUUUCUUUCUUGAAGUACUGGAGCAAUCUGUAAAUGUGACUUCUCAGCUCAGAUCCUGUGAAGCAGAGCUGUGCUGAUGAAGGAAGCGCAGCAGAAGAGAUGCCUGUCACAUUCAAGCCCACUCACACUUCUUCACGUCUCUUCCCCCUGCUGGUCUCAAGUUGAGAAGAAAGAGCUAACACAUUAAAGCAACCCGGAUAUCCGGAGAGUCCAUGGAAGACUGCUGCCCUAGAACAAUUCUUCACUGUGUAGUCAACUUGCAGAAGAGAAGUGUAUGUUCUUUUGAGAUUUUUCUUUUUCUUUUUCAUUACAGCAAUAUAACCUGACUACAGGUUAUUAUAACCUAUUACAGACACACCUGACUAAAUGCAGCUAUUGUACUACUUUUAAAGAUGUUCUUACUCAACCUAUGUAGAAACUUCAGGGUUUUUAAAAUAAUACUUUCUGUAAAACAAGGGCUUUAUUAGUGUAAACAUCUAUAACAGAAAAAAAAAGAAGGGAGUUAGGGGAGGUUGGGACAGCUAUCAGAUUGCAAUGCAAGUCUGGUUCUUUUUGUUGUUGGUUUUUGUUUUGUUUUGUCUUUUUGAGACAGUUUUUGCUAUGUAGUCCAGGCUAGCUUUAAACUCACUGUGUAGCUCAGGCUGGCUUGGAACAGAUGGUGAUCCUCCUGCCUCAGCCUCCUGAGUGCUGGGAUUACAGGCAUGUGCCCCUACACCUGCUGCAAGUCUGAUUCUGAGUGAAGAAGACGGCAAAGAAAGGAGGAAGGCAGGUGGGUGAAGGCAGGCCAAAAUCUUUGGCUGCCAUGCUGCCUAAGGAAAAUAGGGGAUUUAUCAUUUGGAGUAAUUGUCAAUUUUUUUUAUACCCAAUUCAAUCCAUUACUGAUUCUUUUAGAAUCCAUCUUCAAAAGAUGUCCCAACUCCAGAAACUGCAAGAGAUUAGUUUGGCGGAUGGCUUACUGUGCUACCCCCUGUGAAGCCCCAGCAUGCUCUCUGUCCCUGGCUGCAGCUUUGUUUCCACACAGCAGCUGGGCAUCUUCAUAAAGAGUAGGGCACUUCUUCUUCCCAAGCCUCCAAAGGAUUCCCUGGUUAUGCAGAGUAGAAACCAAGGUCUUCACAAAGGCCCGCAAGCCCUAUCAAUAUGGUUUGUAGGGAGGCCAGUCUUGACCGUGCUAUGUAAAAUGGAGAACCAACUCCUACAAUCCCUCAUCUCCUCCCUGUCUCCUUUCCCUCCUUUGUUAUUUUUCAUGGUCUUUGUCAUUGUUGAAAAGGUUACUUAUUCAUUAAUAAGUAAUAUUACUUGAUAAUUUUAGUGUUCACCUUUAUAAUCAUUGAUAAUUUUAUUAUUGUUGCUGCCUUUCUCUACUAGAACAUGAGCUCCAUAAGGAUUACUUUGUUUUCUGCUAUAUAUUCAGUUAUAGAGAAGAGUGCUGGGCUUAAUUCACAUUCAAUGAAUAUUUUUUAAUGAAGAAAUAUUGAUUUCUAUCCAGUUAAGGGAAAGUAAUUAAUUUCUAUAUUCAUUAUAAAUGAAGAGGGAUAUAUAGUCAUUUUAAAAGUGUAUGUUCUUGAUUGUUAAGGAGGGGAAUUUAAAAACAUGUUCCAUUAACAGUGCAUGUUCAGCUAGGCAUGGGGGCUCAUGCCUGUUAUCCCAGCACUCAGGAAGCUGAGGCAGGAGGAUUACUGUGAGUUUGAGACCAGCUUGGACUACAUAGUGAAACCUUUUCUCAAAAACUAAAACCAAAAUUAAAAAAAUAAAGUGCAGGUUCAGCAUUAUAAUUAUAAUUAAUUAUUGUUUUAAAACUUCCUAAUAUGUCUUAUAUCUUUUUGGGAUUUCCAAGUAGAGAGAAGAGUUUUAUUAUAAUUUUUUGAAGCAUGGUCUGUCACAUAAAACUGCUCUAAGGAGAAAAGUUAGAGUUUUAUUUAAAGCUUUAAUCAGUCAUUCAGCUGAAUUGCUAAAUGUAUCAUUGAUCUUGGCAAAAUAAAAGAAAAUAGGGAAGAUUUUUAAAAUAGGGCACAGGUGAGUCACUAUAGAACUUUACUUACAUGCCAUCUUUUUCCCUGUUCAUACUUAAUGAAAUAAAAAUGGAAUUCAA